rnacentral:rRNA from 1 species
UACGUAGGGGGCUAGCGUUGUCCGGAAUCAUUGGGCGUAAAGAGCGCGUAGGCGGCUGGAAUAGUCCGGUGUGAAAUCCACAGGCUUAACCUGUGAAUGCCGCUGGAAACUGUCUGGCUAGAGUCCGGAAGGGGCGAGUGGAAUUCCUGGUGUAGCGGUGAAAUGCGCAGAUAUCAGGAGGAACGCCAAUGGCGAAGGCAGCUCGCUGGGACGGUACUGACGCUGAGGCGCGAAAGCGUGGGGAGCGAACAGG